rnacentral:rRNA from 1 species
CACGUAGGGGCUAGCGUUAUCCGGAAUUACUGGGCGUAAAGGGUGCGUAGGUGGUUUCUUAAGUCAGAGGUGAAAGGCUACGGCUCAACCGUAGUAAGCCUUUGAAACUAGGAAACUUGAGUGCAGGAGAGGAGAGUGGAAUUCCUAGUGUAGCGGUGAAAUGCGUAGAUAUUACACAGAACACCAAUUGCGUAGGCAGCUUACUGAGCCGACACUGACGCUGAGGCACGAAAGCGUGGGGAUCAAACAGGAUUAGAUACCCCUGUAGUCCCUGA